rnacentral:rRNA from 1 species
UACGUAGGGGGCAAGCGUUGUUCGGAAUUACUGGGCGUAAAGCGCGCGUAGGCGGUUUGAAAAGUCAGAUGUGAAAGCCCCGGGCUCAACUUGGGAACUGCAUUUGAUACUGUCAGACUAGAGUACAGAAGAGGUGACUGGAAUUCCCAGUGUAGCGGUGAAAUGCGUAGAUAUUGGGAGGAACACCAGAUGCGAAGGCGGGUCACUGGGCUGAUACUGACGCUGAAGUGCGAAAGCCAGGGAGCGAACGGG